UUUUAUGGUGGCAUUUUUCUCUUUUUUCUUUCUUUUCACUUGUACCGAUUGUUCUUAAGCAAAUCCCUCUCAUUUCUCUUCCAUUAUUUCUUCCACAAACUCUUUUCCUCUCAUUCUUCCUCUCUUUCAUUCAUAGUAAAAGCCGAACCUAUCAUUCUUUUCAUUGCUAACCGAAUAGCAACAAGCCAAAUCCCAAAGGAGUCAAGGGAAGUAGAUUUAUCUAUAAAGGUAUACACUUGUUCUUUUUUCUCUUUAGUCAAUUCUUAUUAUUUCAAAAGACUUUCAACUCUUUU
rnacentral:lncRNA from 1 species